UAGGGAAUAUUGGACAAUGGGUGCAAGCCUGAUCCAGCCAUGCCGCGUGCAGGAAGAAGGCCUUCUGGGUUGUAAACUGCUUUUUGCCAGGGGAUAAAAUUUCUUUGCGAAGAAAAUUGAAGGUACCUGGUGAAUAAGCCACGGCUAACUACGUGCCAGCAGCCGCGGUAAUACGUAGGUGGCAAGCGUUGUCCGGAUUUAUUGGGUUUAAAGGGUGCGUAGGCGGUUCCAUAAGUCAGUGGUGAAAUACAAUAGCUUAACUAUUGAGGUGCCAUUGAUACUGCGGAACUUGAGUACAGACGAGGUAGGCGGAAUUGACGGUGUAGCGGUGAAAUGCUUAGAUAUCGUCAAGAACACCGAUAGCGAAGGCAGCUUACUAGACUGUAACUGACGCUGAGGCACGAAAGUGUGGGGAUCAAACAGGAUUAGAUACCCACGUAGUCCCUGAGCGGGCUGGCAAGGCGCAU
rnacentral:rRNA from 1 species